rnacentral:misc_RNA from 1 species
GGAAGGAUCAUUAACACUAAUCCAACUCAACUCAACGAAGCCUUCAGUUGCCUCAGCAGCGCUUGCCUCGUGCAGUGCCGCUGGUGCAGCAAACACAAACAUAAUUACGCAAAGGAGCCUAACUAAGCUCAACCAUAAAUCCAAAUUCUCAACGAUGGAUAUCUUGGUUCCCAUAACGAUGAAGAACGCAGCGAAGUGCGAUAAGCAAUGCGAAUUGCAGAACCGUGAGUCAUCAGAUUUUUGAACGCAACUGGCGCUGACUGGCUCUCCAGUCAGCAUGCUUGUUUCAGUGUCUCUUUAUCUCAUCACCCAGAUCAUAAUGCGAGAGAUACCCUUCUCUUGCUAAGCAUGAAAGCACUCUGCGCUCUGCGAGCGACUUCGGCUAGUUCGAGGUCGCACUCAAUGCAGCAGUCACAUUGCUCACAAUGUGAACUCAUUGAGAGCUGAGGCAGUGCGGUGCAAACCGCCAGUGCUUAGUCACCCAAACUUUCUUUGCAUCUGAAAUCAAGCAGGAUAACCCGCUGAACUUAAGCAUAUCAUUAAGCGGAGGAGAAGAAAUUAACUAAGAUUGCCCUAGUAACGGCGAGUGAAGCGGCAAGAGCCCAAACUGGAAAUCUUGUACACUACGUGUGCACGAAUUGUAAUCUAAAGGAUGCUUGCUCACCGGGUGGUGGCGCAGAAGUGCCUUCGAACGGGCCGCCAAAGAGGGUGCCAGCCCCGUAUGUGGUGCCACCGCCUAACGAGUGGGUGUUCAAAGAGUCGGGUUGUUUUGUAUUGCAGCCCUAAGUGGGAGAUAAACUUCUUCUAAGGCUAAAUAUAUAUGGGAAACCGAUAGCGAACAAGUACUGUGAAGGAAAGAUGAAAAGAACUUUGAAAAGAGAGUCAAAAGACUUGAAAUCGUUGAGAAGGAAGCGGUAGAAAUUUAUUCUUCGGCGGAGGUCGGUGGUGGUUGCCUAACCAUUGCUGGAGUACAGUACUGCAUAAGGCUGUACCUGGUACCUGGGGAAGCGGCUGUCUUGACCUCUGUCGUGAGGCAAAAUGAGGCCGCGCAACCGCAAAGGCUUCCCACACCUGGUCUGCUUCGGUAGUCAGUGUGGGUGUGCUGGCGGGGGUGCGACCUGAGGAUGCUUUGUGCGAUUUUGCCAAAAUGGUUUUUACCGACCCGUCUUGAAACACGGACCAAGGAGUCUAACAUAUAUGCGAGUGUGCUAGUGGAGAAACUAACACGCGUAAUGAAAGUGAGCGAUGCCAAGUCGCAAGAUGGCAGCAUCGACCGACCAUGAUCCUCUGGAGAAAGGUUUGAGUAAGAGCAUAUCUGUUAGGACCCGAAAGAUGGUGAACUAUGCCUGAGUAGGGUGAAGCCAGGGGAAACUCUGGUGGAGGCUCGUAGCGGUACUGACGUGCAAAUCGUUCGUCAAACUUGGGUAUAGGGGCGAAAGACUAAUCGAACCAUCUAGUAGCUGGUUCCCUC